GGCCUCGUAGCUCAGAUGGUUAGAGUAAUCUCUGUACUAAAGCCAUCCCCUCGCUGGUGUGGGAUCGAAUCCCACCGAGGCCA
rnacentral:tRNA from 1 species